rnacentral:tRNA from 1 species
GAGAGUAUAGCUCAGUGGUAGCGUGCAUGUUUCCCACACAGGAGGUCCUGGGUUCAAUCCCCAGUACCUCCA